rnacentral:rRNA from 1 species
UAGCCUUACUAUCAUCUGUUUCUCAUUUUACACAUGCAAGUCUCAGCACCCCAGUGAGAACGCCCUUUUAACCUACACCAGGAGAAGGAGCUGGCAUCAGGCACAAUCCCUGCCCAUAACACCUAGUCUCACCACACCCCCAAGGGUAAUCAGCAGUGAUAAAUCUUAAAUAUAAGCGACAGCUUGAUUUAGUUAGAGAAAAGAGGGCCGGCUAACCCGGUGCCAGCCGCCGCGGCUACACCGUGGGGCCCGAGCUGAUAGUCACCGGCGUUAAGCGUGAUUAAAGCCCUCAACAAUUAGGGUUAAAUUAAUAUUUAGUAGUGAUAAGCUUGUUAUUAAGAAAACCAUAAACGAAAGUUACCCUAAUUACACUUGAAUCCACGACAACUGGGAAAACAAACUGGGAUUAGAUACCGCACUAUAA